rnacentral:rRNA from 1 species
AUUGAACGCUGGCGGCAGGCCUAACACAUGCAAGUCGAACGAGUGGCGGACGGGUGAGUAAUGUCUGGGAAACUGCCCGAUGGAGGGGGAUAACUACUGGAAACGUUAGCUAAUACCGCAUACCAUCGGAUGUGCCCAGAUGUGAUUAGCUAGUAGGUGGGGUAACGGCUCACCUAGGCGCCGAUCCCUAGCUGGUCUGUGAGGAUGACCAGUCACACUGGAGGUGAGACACGGUCAAGACUCAUGCGGGAGGCCGCAGUGGGGAAUAUUGCACAAUGGGCGCAAGCCUGAUGCAGCCAUGCCGCGUGUAUGAAGAAGGCCUUCGGGUUGUAAAGUACUUUCAGCGAGGAGGCGUUACUCGCAGAAGAAGCACCGGCUAACUCCGUGCCAGCAGCCGCGGUAAUAC